UUCGUUUUCCCAAAAUUAAAUCUAGUUUUUCUCUUUUCAUUUGUUGCACUAAGAGGUUGUGUAACUUCUUCAUUCCACCUAAAGUAUGACACAUGCUGGAUACUCCAACUGCAAGGUCAGUACACGCAGUAUGUCCUAGUACUAAAGAAUUGCAACAUCACCAAUAUGGGGAGGUUGAUUUGCAUUUCUUGCAAUUCUAUACAACAUUUGUGUUGUUAUCCUUCUUCAGUUUGGAUGCACAGUUUUCGGACCGUGCUUAGAUAGUUCAGUAUACAGCAGCAGCAACAGUGGUGAGUCCUCAUCCCUUGAGGACAAGUUUAUGUUUCAAUCAGUUAUAUCAA